CAAUAGUGAAGAUGGCGACCGGCGCACGGUGAGUAACACGUAUCCAACCUGCCGAUAACUCGGGGAUAGCCUUUCGAAAGAAAGAUUAAUAUCCGAUAGUAUAUUAAAACCGCAUGGUUUUACUAUUAAAGAAUUUCGGUUAUCGAUGGGGAUGCGUUCCAUUAGUUUGUUGGCGGGGUAACGGCCCACCAAGACUACGAUGGAUAGGGGUUCUGAGAGGAAGGUCCCCCACAUUGGAACUGAGACACGGUCCAA
rnacentral:rRNA from 1 species